UGGGGAAUAUUGCACAAUGGGCGCAAGCCUGAUGCAGCCAUGCCGCGUGUGUGAAGAAGGCCUUCGGGUUGUAAAGCACUUUCAGCGAGGAGGAAGGGUAGUGUGUUAAUAGCACAUUGCAUUGACGUUACUCGCAGAAGAAGCACCGGCUAACUCCGUGCCAGCAGCCGCGGUAAUACGGAGGGUGCAAGCGUUAAUCGGAAUUACUGGGCGUAAAGUGCACGCAGGCGGUUUGUUAAGUCAGAUGUGAAAUCCCCGCGCUUAACGUGGGAACUGCAUUUGAAACUGGCAAGCUAGAGUCUUGUAGAGGGGGGUAGAAUUCCAGGUGUAGCGGUGAAAUGCGUAGAGAUCUGGAGGAAUACCGGUGGCGAAGGCGGCCCCCUGGACAAAGACUGACGCUCAGGUGCGAAAGCGUGGGGAGCAAACA
rnacentral:rRNA from 1 species